AUUGAACGCUGGCGGCAUGCCUAACACAUGCAAGUCGAACGGCAGCACAGCAGUAGCAAUACUGUGGGUGGCGAGUGGCGGACGGGUGAGGAAUACGUCGGAAUCUGCCCAGUCGUGGGGGAUAACUAGCCGAAAGGUUAGCUAAUACCGCAUACGACCGAGAGGUGAAAGCGGGGGGACCGCAAGGCCUCGCGCGAUUGGAUGAGCCGACGUCGGAUUAGCUAGUUGGCGGGGUAAAGGCCCACCAAGGCGACGAUCCGUAGCUGGUCUGAGAGGAUGAUCAGCCACACUGGAACUGAGACACGGUCCAGACUCCUACGGGAGGCAGCAGUGGGGAAUAUUGGACAAUGGGCGCAAGCCUGAUCCAGCAAUGCCGCGUGUGUGAAGAAGGCCUCGGUUGUAAGCACUUUAUCAGGACGAAAGACGUUGGAGUUAAUACUACUGACGUGCUGACGGUACCUGAGGAAUAAGCACCGGCUAACUUACGUG
rnacentral:rRNA from 1 species